GCUGUUUAAGAAGGCUGUUCUUCAACAUGUGGAACAUUUCCUCCUUUGAAAUGAAUCCAUCACCAUUCAAAUCAAACACUUCAAAGCAAUCUUUUAAAAAAUAGCCAAUUAGGAAUUAGAUAUUAUCCUUAAGCAUUGACUUGAAUUUGCUCCAUAAAAGAGGCUAAUGGGAAUUCAAACCAACCAACCAACCAACCAACCAACCAACCAACAGACAACCUACUUCACUGGAUGGGUUGGAAGAAAUCAAUUUAAAAUGUUUUAGAUAUGUUAGUAAUAACGUGCAAACCAGUAGAAUAACUUGAAAUCUUACAUUUCAUUUUUUCUUCCAAAGUUCCUCGAAGAAACAGUGAUAAUCCAUAUACCCACUCUGAUACACUUACACAACCAUCAUUGUCUUUAUCAAAACCUCGGAAUACUAAAAAGAAAAAGAAGGGCAAUAUAAUACUUGUGCUGCAUUUUUAAUCUCAGUAAUGUAUCUACAUUGGUACUACCCACUUUUAAAAUUUAAUCAAAACUUCAGGAUCAUAUGGUCCAACAUUCCCAUUUGACAAAGGAAGAAACUAACUUUCACAUUUUCUCCUCAUAUUUUGUGGGAACAAAGUAAAUUCUGAAUAUCUAAAUAUGUUAAUAACUAAUUAUUAACAUGUAACUGUGUUGGUAUAUUAAAUAUGUUGCUGUAUUAACAUAAAAUAUAUAAUUUUGAACUUUUGUUACUCAACACAUGUAAUGCUUUAUUACAUGGUAGACUGGACUAUAUCUUAAUUCUUAUUGAAAUACUUUCAAUGAUGUAAAGAAACUUAAAUGUCCUCUUAAAACUAUUCUUCUUAUUAUUAUAUUUACUAAGUAAAAAUAGAAAUAUUUUAGGUUUUCUGUUAUAAGGUAAGGGAAACCUAAUUAUUCAAGCUGACUCUGUCCACUUCUUAAAUACACAAAAUAGAGUGGAUACUAUUUCCAUCCCUAUGAUCUUUUUCUUUAAAAUUUU